GAACUCAGCCUUUUACCCUCUUCAGCAGCUCAAGUAUUAAAAUUGGAAUGACACAGAGAAAAUUAGCAAAGCAUGAGGAUGACGUGCAAAUUCGUGAAGUGUUCCAUAUUCUU
rnacentral:snRNA from 1 species